AACGCUAGCUACAGGCUUAACACAUGCAAGUCGAGGGGAAACGACAUUGAAAGCUUGCUUUUGAUGGGCGUCGACCGGCGCACGGGUGAGUAACGCGUAUCCAACCUGCCCACCACUUGGGGAUAACCUUGCGAAAGUAAGACUAAUACCCAAUGACGUCUCUAGAAGACAUCUGAAGGAGAUUAAAGAUUUAUCGGUGAUGGAUGGGGAUGCGUCUGAUUAGCUUGUUGGCGGGGUAACGGCCCACCAAGGCGACGAUCAGUAGGGGUUCUGAGAGGAAGGUCCCCCACAUUGGAACUGAGACACGGUCCAAACUCCUACGGGAGGCAGCAGUGAGGAAUAUUGGUCAAUGGGCGAGAGCCUGAACCAGUCAAGUAGCGUGCAGGAUGACGGCCCUAUGGGUUGUAAACUGCUUUUAUACAGGAAUAAAGUUAGCCACGUGUGGUUAUUUGUAGGUACUGUAUGAAUAAGGACCGGCUAAUUCCGUGCCAGCAGCCGCGGUAAUACGGAAGGUCCAGGCGUUAUCCGGAUUUAUUGGGUUUAAAGGGAGCGUAGGCCGUCUGUUAAGCGUGUUGUGAAAUGUAGAUGCUCAACAUCUGAAUUGCAGCGCGAACUGGCAGACUUGAGUGUGCGCAACGUAGGCGGAAUUCGUGGUGUAGCGGUGAAAUGCUUAGAUAUCACGAAGAACUCCGAUUG
rnacentral:rRNA from 1 species